rnacentral:rRNA from 1 species
UACGAAGGGGGCUAGCGUUGCUCGGAAUCACUGGGCGUAAAGGGUGCGUAGGCGGGUCUUUAAGUCAGGGGUGAAAUCCUGGAGCUCAACCCCAGAACUGCCUUUGAUACUGAAGAUCUUGAGUUCGGGAGAGGUGAGUGGAACUGCGAGUGUAGAGGUGAAAUUCGUAGAUAUUCGGAGGAACACCAGUGGCGAAGGCGGCUCACUGGUCCGGUACUGACGCUGAGGUGCGAAAGCGUGGGGAGCAAACAGG